rnacentral:lncRNA from 1 species
AAAGCAUUCCUGGAAAUCUCGGCCCAAAAAAGGACGUUUAGUAAUUCUAAAAGGGACUACAGGAUGAAAAACAAUAGUUUUGGCAGUUAAAGUUUGAGAUUCGAUAAUGCCGUAGAUCCGUUUGGUCAUCAGGUGUAACGAGCCACACCCAUGUCUGGUUAGAGUAGUGUGCUAGGCUCAGACUAGAUAAGAAACGGGGAACAAACUGAUGAAAGAAUGAUCAUACCGAGCGAAUUCACUCAGAACUAACAAGAAUGAUAACAUGCUCCGACUGGAGCGGUUUAGGAACUGCUGGAAGGCUCUAGGGGAAUAAAGAUGGAAUGACUUCUAAUUUUUAGGUCCGUAUGAUUUGAAAUACUUGCACACAAACCACGCGAAAGCGUUCCUGGAAAUCUCAGCCCAAAAAAGGACGUUUAGUAAUUCUAAAAGGGACUACAGGAUGAAAAACAAUAGUUUUGGCAGUUAAAGUUUGAGAUUCGACAGUGCCGUAGAUCCGUUUGGUCAUCAGGUAUUACGAGCCACACCCAUGUCUAGCUAGAAUAGUGUGCUAGGCUCAGGCUAGAGAAGAAACGGGGAACAAACUGAUGAAAGAAUGAUCAAACCGAGGGAAUUCACUCAGAACUAACAAUAAUGAUAACGUGCUCCGACUGGUGCGGUUUAGGAACUGCUGGAAGGCUCUAGGGGAAUAAAGAUGGAAUGACUUCUAAUUUUUAGGUCCGUAUGAUUUGAAAUACUUGCACACAAACCGCGCGAAAGCGUUCCUGGAAAUCUCAGCCCAAAAAAGGACGUUUAGUAAUUUUAAAAGGGACUAUAGGAUGAAAAACAAUAGUUUUGGCAAUUAAAGUUUGAGAUUCGACGGUGUCGUAGAUCCGUUUGGUCAUCAGGUGUUACGAGCCACACCCAUGUCUAGCUAGAAUAGUAUGUCAGGCUCAGGUUAGAGUAGAAACGGGGAACAAACUGAUGAAAGAAUGAUCAUACCAAGGGAAUUCACUCAGAACUAUCAAGAAUGAUAACGUGCUCCGACUGGAGUGAUUUAGGAACUGCUGGAAGGCUCUAGGGGAAUAAAGAUGGAAUGACUUCUAAUUUUUACGUCCGUAUGAUUUGAAAUACUUGCACACAAAUCACGCAAAAGCGUUCCUGGAAAUCUCAGCCUAAAAAAGGACGUUUAGUAAUUCUAAAAGGGACUACAGGAUGAAAAACAAUAGUUUGGGCAGUUAAAAUUUGAGAUUCGACGGUGCCGUAGAUCCGUUUGGUCAUCAGGUGUUACGAGCGACACCCUUGUCUAGCUAGAAUAGUGUGUUAGGCUCAGACUAGAGAAGAAACGGGGAACAAAGUGAUGAAAGAAUGAUCAUACCGAGGGAAUUCACUCAGAACUAACAAGAAUGAUAACGUGCUCCGACUGGAGCGGUUUAGUAACUGCUGGAAGGCUCUAGGGGAAUGAAGAUGGAAUGACUUCUAAUUUUUAGGUCCGUAUGAUUUGAAAUACAUGCACACAAACCCUGAGAAAGCGUUCCUGGAAAUCUCGGUCGAAAAAAGGAUGUUUAAUAAUUCUAAAAGGGACUACCGGAUGAAAAACAAUAGUUUUGGCAGUUAAAGUUUGUGAUUCGAUGGUGCCGUAGAUCUGUUUGGUCAUCAGGUGUUACGAGCCACACCCAUGUCUAUCUAGAAUAGUGUGUUAGGCUCAGGCUAGAGCAGAAACGGGGAACAGACUUAUGAAAGAAUGAUCAUACCGAGGGAAUUCACUCAGAACUAACAAGAAUGAUAACGUGCUCCGACUGGCGCGGUUUAGGAACUGCUGGAAGGCUCUAGGGGAAUAAAGAUGGAAAGACUUCUAAUUUUUAGGUCCGUAUGAUUUGAAAUACUUGCACACAAACCGCACGAAAGCGUUCCUGGAAAUCUCAGCCUAAAAAGGAUGUUUAGUAAUUCUAAAAGGGACUACAAGAUGAAAAAUAAUAGUUUGGGCAGUUAAAAUUUGAGAUUCGACGAUGCCGUAGAUCCGUUUGGUCAUCAGGUGUUAUGAGCCACACCCAUGUCUAGCUAGAAUAGUGUGUUAGGCUCAGGCUAGAGAAGAAACGGGGAACAAACUGAUGAAAGAAUGAUCAUACCGAGGGAAUUCACUCAGAACUAACAAGAAUGAUAACGUGCUCCGACUGGAGCAGUUUAGAAACUGCUGGAAGGCUCUAAUGGAAUAAAGAUGGAAUGCCUUCAAAUUUCUAGGUCCGUAUGAUUUGAAAUACUUGCACACAAACCGCUCGAAAGCGUUCCUGGAAAUCUCAGCCCAAAAAAGGACGUUUAGUAAUUCUAAAAGGGACUACAGGAUGAAAAACAAUAGUUUUGGCAGUUAAAGUUUGAGAUUCGAUGGUGCCGUAGAUCCGUUUGGUCAUCAGGUGUAACGAGCCACACACAUGUCUAGCUAGAGUAGUGUGCUAGGCUCAGACUAGAGAAGAAACGGGGAACAAAGUGAUGAAAGAAUGAUCAUACCGAGGGAAUUCACUCAGAACUUACAAGAAUGAUAACGUGCUCCGACUGGAGCGCUUUAGUAACUGCUGGAAGGCUCUAGGCGAAUAAAGAUGGAAUGACUUCUAAUUUUUAGGUCCGUAUGAUUUGAAAUACUUGCACACAAACCACGCAAAACCGUUCCUAGAAAUCUCGGUCGAAAAAAGGACGUUUAGUAAUUCUAAAAGGGACUACAGGAUGAAAAACAAUAGUUUUGGCAGUUAAAGUUUGAGAUUCGAUGGUGCCGUAGAUCCGUUUGGUCAUCAGGUGUUACGAGCCACACCCAUGUCUAGCUAGAGUAGUGUGCUAGGUUCAGACUAGAGAAGAAACGGGGAACAAAGUGAUUAAAGAAUGAUCAUACCGAGGGAAUUCACUCAGAACUAACAAGAAUGAUAACGUGCUCCGACUGGAGCGGUUUAGGAACUGCUGGAAGGCUCUAGGGGAAUAAAGAUGGAAUGACUUCUAAUUUUUACGUCCGUAUGAUUUGAAAUACAUGCACACAAACCACGCAAAAGCGUUCCUGGAAAUCUCAGCCUAAAAAAGGACGUUUAGUAAUUCUAAAAGGGACUACAGGAUGAAAAAUAAUAGUUUGGGCAGUUAAAAUUUGAGAUUCGACGCUGCCGUAGAUCCGUUUGGUCAUCAGGUCUUACGAGCCACACCCAUGUCUAGCUAGAAUAGUGUGUUAGGCUCAGGCUAGAGAAGAAACGGGGAACAAACUGAUGAAAGAAUGAUCAUACCGAGGGAAUUCACUCAGAACUAACAAGAAUGAUAACGUGCUCCGACUGGAGCAGUUUAGAAACUCCUGGAAGGCUCUAGGGGAAUAAAGAUGGAAUGACUUCAAAGUUUUAGGUCCGUAUGAUUUGAAAUACUUGCACACAAACCGCGUGAAAGCGUUCCUGGAAAUCUCAACCCAAAAAAGGGCGUUUAGUAAUUCUAAAAGGGACUACAGGAUGUAAAACAAUAGUUUUGGCAGUUAAAGUUUGAGAUUCGAUGGUGCCGUAGAUCCGUUUGGUCAUCAGGUGUAACGAGCCACACCCAUGUCUAGCUAGAGUAGUGUGCUAGGCUCAGACUAGAGAAGAAACGGGGAACAAAGUGAUGAAAGAAUGAUCAUACCGAGGGAAUUCACUCAUAACUAACAAGAAUGAUAACGUGCUCUGACUUGAGCGGUUUAGGAACUGCUGGAAGGCUAUAGGGGAAUAAAGAUGGAAUGACUUCAAAUUUUUAGGUCCGUAUGAUCUGAAAUACUUGCACACAAACCGCGAGAAAGCGUUCCUGGAAAUCUCAACCCAAAAAAGGACGUUUAGUAAUUCUAAAAGGGACUACAGGAUGAAAAACAAUAGUUCUGGCAGUUAUUGUUUGAGAUUCGAUAAUCUCGUAGAUCCGUUUGGUCAUCAGGUGUAACGAGCCACACCCAUGUCUAGCUAGAGUAGUGUGCUAGGCUCAGACUAGAGAAGAAACGGGGAACAAACUGAUGAAAGAAUGAUCAUACCGAGGGAAUUCACUUAGAACUAACAAGAAUGAUAACGUGCUCCGACUGGAGCGGUUUAGGAACUGCUGGAAGGCUCUAGGGGAAUAAAGAAGGAACGACUUCUAAUUUUUAGGUCCGUAUGAUUUGAAAUAUGUGCACACAAACCACGAGAAAGCGUUCCUAGAAAUCUCGGCCCAAAAGAGGACGUUUAGUAUUCUAAAAGGGACUACAGAAUGAAAAACAAUAGUUUUGGCAGUUAAAGUUUGAGAUUUGACGGUGCCGUAGAUCUGUUUGGUCAUCAGGGGUUACGAGCCACACCCAUGUCUAGCUAGAAUAGUGUGUUAGGCUCAGGCUAGAAAAGAAACGGGGAACAAAGUGAUGAAAGAAUGAUCAUACCGAGGGAAUUCACUCAGAACUAACAAGAAUGAUAACAUGCUCCGACUGGAGCGGUUUAGGAACUGCUGGAAGGCUCUAGGGGAAUAAAGAUGGAAUGACUUCUAAUUUUUAGGUCCGUAUGAUUUGAAAUACUUGCACACAAACCGCGCGAAAGCGUUCCUGGAAAUCUCAGCCCAAAAAAGGACGUUUAGUAAUUCUAAAAGGGACUACAGGAUGAAAAACAAUAGUUUUGGCAGUUAAAGUAUGAGAUUCAACGGUGCCGUAGAUCCGUUUGGUCAUUAGGUGUUACGAGCCACACCCAUGUCUAGCUAGAAUAGUGUGCUAGGCUCAGGCUAGAGAAGAAACGGGGAACAAACUGAUGAAAGAAUGAUCAAACCGAGGGAAUUCACUCAGAACUAACAAUAAUGAUAACGUGCUCCGACUGGAGCGGUUUAGGAACUGCUGGAAGUCUCUAGGGGAAUAAAGAUGGAAUGACUUCUAAUUUUUACGUUCGUAUGAUUUGAAAAACUUGCCCAUAAACCGCGCGAAAGUGUUCCUGGAAAUCUCAGCCCAAAAAAGGACGUUUAGUAAUUUUAAAAGGGACUACACGAUGAAAAACAAUAGUUUUGGCAGGUAAAGUUUGAGAUUCGACAGUGCCGUAGAUCCGUUUGGUCAUCAGGUGUUACGAGCCACACCCAUGUCUAGCUAGAAUAGUAUGUUACGCUCAGGUUAGAGAAGAAACGGGGAACAAACUGAUGAAAGAUGAUCAUACCAAGGGAAUUCACUCAGAACUAACAAGAAUGAUAACGUGCUCCGACUGGAGCGGUUUAGGAACUGCUGGAAGGCUCUAGGGGAAUAAAGAUGGAAUGACUUCUAAUUUUUACGUCUGUAUGAUUUGAAAUACUUGCACACAAACAACGCAAAAGCAUUCCUGGAAAUCUCAUCCUAAAAAAGGACGUUUAGUAAUUCUAAAAGGGACUACAGGAUGAAAAAUAAUAGUUUGGGAAGUUAAAAUUUGAGAUUCGAUAGUGCCGUAGAUCCGUUUGGUCAUCAGGUGUUAGGAGCCACACCCAUGUCUAGCUAGAAUAGUGUGUUAGGCUCAGGCUAGAGAAGAAACAGGGAACAAACUGAUGAAAGAAUGAUCAUACCGAGGGAAUUCACUCAGAACUAGCAAGAAUGAUAACGUGCUCCGACUGGAGCAGUUUUGAAACUGCUGGAAGGCUCUAGGGGAAUAAUGAUGGAAUGACUUCUAAGUUUUUGGUCCGUAUGAUUUGAAAUACGUGCACACAAACCCAGAGAAAGUGUUCUUGGAAAUCUCGGCCGAAAAAAGGAUGUUUAAUAAUUCUAAAAGGGACUACAGGAUGAAAAACAAUAGUUUUGGCAGUUAAAGUUUGUGAUUCGAUGGUGCUGUAGAUCUGUUUGGUCAUCAGGUGUUAUGAGCCACACCCAUGUCUAGCUAGAACAGUGUGUUAGGCUCAGGCUAGAGCAGAAACGGGGAACAAACUUAUGAAAGAAUGAUCAUACCGAGGGAAUUCACUCAGAACUAACAAGAAUGAUAACGUGCUCCGACUGGAGAGGUUUAGGAACUGCUGGAAGGCUCUAGGGGAAUAAAGAUGGAAUGACUUCAAAUUUUUAGGUCUGUAUGAUCUGAAAUACUUGCACACAAACCGCGAGAAAGCGUUCCUGGAAAUCUCAGCCCAAAAAAGGACGUUUAGUGAUUCUAAAAGGGACUACGGGAUAAAAAACAAUAGUUUUGGCAGUUAAAGUUUGAGAUUCGAUAAUGCCGUAGAUCCGUUUGGUCAUCAGGUGUAACGAGCCACACCCAUGUCUAGCUAGAGUAGUGUGCUAGGCUCAUACUAGAGAAGAAAUGGGGAACAAACUGAUGAAAGAAUGAUCAUACCGAGGGAGUUCACUCAAAACUAACAUGAAUGAUAACGUGCUCCGACUGGAGCGGUUUAGGAACUGCUGGAAGGCUCUAGGGGAAUAAAGAUGGAAUGACUUCUAAUUUUUAGGUCCGUAUGAUUUGAAAUACAUGCACACAAACCCCAAGAAAGCGUUCCUGGAAAUCUCGCCCCGAAAAACGACGUUUAGUAAUUCUAAAAGGGACUAUAGGAUGAAAAACAAUAGUUUUGGCAGUUAAAGUUUGAGAUUUGACGGUGCCGUAGAUCUGUUUGGUCAUCAGGUGUUACGAGCCACACCCAUUUCUAGCUAGAAUAGUGUGUUAGGCUCAGGCUAGAAAAGAAACGGGGAACAAAGUGAUGAAAGAAUGAUCAUACCGAGGGAAUUCACUCAGAACUAACAAGAAUGAUAACAUGGUCCGACUGGAGCGGUUUAGGAACUGCUGGAAGGCUCUAGGGGAAUAAAGAUGGAAUGACUUCUAACUUUUAGGUCCGUAUGAUUUGAAUUACUUGCACACAAACCGCGCGAAAGCGUUCCUGGAAAUCUCAGCCCAAAAAAGGACGUUUAGUAAUUCUAAAAGGGACUACAGGAUGAAAAACAAUAGUUUUGGCAGUUAAAGUUUGAGAUUCGACGGUGCCGUAGAUCCGUUUGGUCAGCAGGUGUUACGAGCCACACCCAUGUCUAGCUAGAGUAGUGUGCUAGGUUCAGACUAGAGAAGAAAUGUUGGGGAACGUAGCAGAAAUUCAAAAUUUUCCUACGUGUCACCAAGAUCUAUCUAUGGAGAGACUAGCAACGAGGGAAGGAGAGUGCAUCUACAUACCCUUGUAGAUCGCUAAGCGGAAGCGUUCAAGUGAACGGGGUUGAUGGAGUCGUACUCGUCGUGAUUCAGCUCACCGAUGAUCCUAGUGCCGAACGGACGGCACCUCCGCGUUCAACACACGUACAGCUCGACGAUGUCUCCCACGCCUUGAUCCAGCAAGGAGAGAGGGAGAGGUUGAGGAAGACUCCAUCCAGCAGAAGCACAACGGCGUGGUGGUGAUGGAGGAGCAUGGCAAUCCUGCAGGGCUUCGCCAAGCACCUAUGGGAGAGGAGGAGGUGUCACGGGAGGGAGGGAGGCGCCAAGGGCUCAGGUAUAGAUGCCCUCCCUCCCCUCCACUAUAUAUAGGGGCAAGGGAGAGGGGGGAGGCGCAGCCUUGCCCCUUCCUCCAAGGAAGGGGUGCGGCUAAGAGGGGGGGAGGAGUCCAUCCUCCCCAAGGCACCUCGGAGGUGCCUUCCCCCUUUAGGACUCUCCCCUUUUUCCUAUAUCUUGGCGCAUGGGCCUCUAGGGGCUGGUUCCCUUGGCCCAUGUAGGCCCAGGCGCACCCCCUACAGCCCAUGUGGCCCCCCGGGGCAGGUGGCCCCACCUGGUGGGCCCCCGGGACCCUUCCGGUGGUCCCGGUACAAUACCGAUGACCCCGAAACUUGUCCCGAUGGCCGAAACAGGACUUCCUAUAUAUAAAUCUUUACCUCCGGACAAUUCCGGAACUCCUCGUGACGUCCGGGAUCUCAUCCGGGACUCCGAACAACAUUCGGUAACCACAUACAAACUUCCUUUAUAACCCUAGCGUCAUCGAACCUUAAGUGUGUAGACCCUACGGGUUCGGGAGACAUGUAGUCAUGACCGAGAUGUUCUCCGGUCAAUAACCAACAGCGGGAUCUGGAUACCCAUGUUGGCUCCCACAUGUUCCACGAUGAUCUCAUCGGAUGAACCACGAUGUCAAGGACUCAAUCAAUCCCGUAUACAAUUCCCUUUGUCUAGCGGUAUGGUACUUGCCCGAGAUUCGAUCGUCGGUAUACCGAUACCUUGUUCAAUCUCGUUACCGGCAAGUCUCUUUACUCAUUUCGUAACACAUCAUCCCGUGAUCAACCCCUUGGUCACAUUGUGCACAUUAUGAUGAUGUCCUACCGAGUGGGCCCAGAGAUACCUCUCCGUUUACACGGAGUGACAAAAUCCCAAUCUCGAUUCGUGCCAACCCAACAGACACUUUCAGAGAUACCCGUAGUGUACCUUUACAGCCACCCAGUUACGUUGUGACGUUUGGCACACCCAAAGCACUCCUACAGUAUCCGGGAGUUGCACAAUCUCAUGGUCUAAGGAAAUGAUACUUGACAUUAGAAAAGCUUUAGCAUACGAACUACAUGAUCUUGUGCUAGGCUUAGGAUUGGGUCUUGUCCAUCACAUCAUUCUCCUAAUGAUGUGAUCCCGUUAUCAACGACAUCCAAUGUCCAUGGUCAGGAAACCGUAACCAUCUAUUGAUUAACGAGCUAGUCAACUAGAGGCUUACUAGGGACAUGGUGUUGUCUAUGUAUCCACACAUGUAUCUAAGUUUCCUAUCAAUACAAUUCUAGCAUGGAUAAUAAACGAUUAUCAUGAACAAGGAAAUAUAAUAAUAAUCAAUUUAUUAUUGCCUCUAGGGCAUAUUUCCAACAGUCUCCCACUUGCACUAGAGUCAAUAAUCUAGUUCACAUCGAUAUGUGAUUAACACUCAAGGUCACAUUCCCAUGUGACUAACACCCAAGAGUUUACUAGAGUCAAUAAUCUAGUUCACAUUUACCAUGUGAUUAACACUUGAUGAGUUCUGGGUUUGAUCAUGUUAUGCUUGUGAGAGAGGUUAUAGUCAACGGGUCUGAACCUUUCAGAUCCGUGUGUGCUUUACAAAUCUCUAUGUCAUCUCCUAGAUGCAGCUACCACGUUCUAUUUGGAGCUAUUCCAAAUAACUGUUCUACUUGGAGCUAUUCUAAAUUGUUGCUCCAUUAUACGUAUCCGGUAUCUCUACUCAGAGCUAUCCGGAUAGGUGUUAAGCUUGCAUCGACGUAACCCUUUACGACGAACUCUUUUACCACCUCCAUAAUUGAGAAAAUUCCUUAGUCCACUAGUUACUAAGGAUAACUUUGACCGCUGUCCUGUGAUCCAUUCUUGGAUCACUCUUGUACCCCUUGACUGACUCAUGGUAAAGCACACUUCAGGUGCGGUACACAGCAUAGCAUACUGUAGAGCCUAUGUCUUAAGCAUAGGGGACGACCUUCGUUCCUUUCUCUCUAUUCUGCCAUGGUCGAGCUUUAAGUCUUAACUUCAUACCUUACAACUCAGGCAAGAACUCCUUCUUUGACUGAUCCAUCUUGAACACCUUCAAGAUCACGUCAAGGCAUGUGCUCACGUCAAGAUCACGUCGGUAUACCGAUACCUUGUUCAAUCUCGUUACCGGCAAGUCUCUUUACUCGUUCCGUAACACAUCAUCCCGUGAUCAACCCCUUGGUCACAUUGUGCACAUUAUGAUGAUGUCCUACCGAGUGGGCCCAGAGAUACCUCUCCGUUUACACGGAGUGACAAAAUCCCAAUCUCGAUUCGUGCCAACCCAACAGACACUUUCAGAGAUACCCGUAGUGUACCUUUAUAGCCACCCAGUUACGUUGUGACGUUUGGCACACCCAAAGCACUCCUACGGUAUCCGGGAGUUGCACAAUCUCAUGGUCUAAGGAAAUGAUACUUGACAUUAGAAAAGCUUUAGCAUACGAACUACAUGAUCUUGUGCUAGGCUUAGGAUUGGGUCUUGUCCAUCACAUCAUUCUCCUAAUGAUGUGAUCCCGUUAUCAACGACAUCCAAUGUCCAUGGUCAGGAAACCGUAACCAUCUAUUGAUUAACGAGCCAGUCAACUAGAGGCUUACUAGGGACAUGGUGUUGUCUAUGUAUCCACACAUGUAUCUGAGUUUCCUAUCAAUACAAUUCUAGCAUGGAUAAUAAACGAUUAUCAUGAACAAGGAAAUAUAAUAAUAAUCAAUUUAUUAUUGCCUCUAGGGCAUAUUUCCAACAGUCUCCCACUUGCACUAGAGUCAAUAAUCUAGUUCACAUCACCAUGUGAUUAACACUGACAGGUCACAUCACCAUGUGACCAACAUCCAAAGAGUCUUGGGUUUGAUCAUGUUGCUUGUGAGAGAGGUUAUAGUCAACGGGUCUGAACCUUUCAGAUCCGUGUGUGCUUUACAAAUCUCUAUGUCAUCUCCUAGAUGCAGCUACCACGUUCUAUUUGGAGCUAUUCCAAAUAACUGUUCUACUUGGAGCUAUUCUAAAUUGUUGCUCCAUUAUACGUAUCCGGUAUCUCUACUCAGAGCUAUCCGGAUAGGUGUUAAGCUUGCAUCGACGUAACCCUUUACGACGAACUCUUUUACCACCUCCAUAAUUGAGAAAAUUCCUUAGUCCACUAGUUACUAAGGAUAACUUUGACCGCUGUCCUGCGAUCCAUUCUUGGAUCACCCUUGUACCCCUUGACUGACUCAUGGUAAAGCACACUUCAGGUGCGGUACACAGCAUAGCAUACUGUAGAGCCUAUGUCUUAAGCAUAGGGGAUGACCUUCGUUCCUUUCUCUCUAUUCUGCCAUGGUCGAGCUUUAAGUCUUAACUUCAUACCUUACAACUCAGGCAAGAACUCCUUCUUUGACUGGUCCAUCUUGAACACCUUCAAGAUCAUGUCAAGGUAUGUGCUCAUUUGAAAGUACUAUUAAGCGUUUUGAUCUAUCCUUAUAGAUCUUGAUGCUCAAUGUUCAAGUAGCUUAAUCCAGGUUUUCCAUUGAAAACACUUUCCAAAUAACCCUAUAUGCUUUCCAGAAAUUCUACGUCAUUUCUGAUCAUUAAUAUGUCAACAACAUAUAAUCAUCAGAAAUUCUAUAGUGCUCCCACUCACUUCUUUGGAAAUACAAGUUUCUCAUAAACUUUGUAUACACCCAAAAUCUUUGAUCAUCAUCAAAGCAUACAUUCCAACUCCGAGAUGCUCACUCCAGUCCUCAGAAGGAUUGCUGGAGCUUUGCAUACUUAUUAGCAUAUUUCAGGAUAGACAAAACCUUCCAGUUGUAUCACAUACAACCUUUCCUCAAGAAUCGUCGACGAAACAAUGUUUUGACAUCCUAUCUGCAAGAUUUCAUAAAUAAUGCAGUAAUUGUUAAUAUAAUUCCAACAGACUCUUAGCAUCGCUACGAGUGAGAAAGUCUCAUUGUAGUCAACUCCUUGAACUUGUCAAAAAACAUCUUAACGACAAGUCGAGCUUUCUCAAUGGUGACACUUACCAUCAUUGUCUGUCUUCCUUUCAAAAUCCAUAUGUACCUAACAGCCUUACGACCAUCAAGUAGUUCUUCCAAAGUCUACACUUUGUUUUCAUACAUGGAUCCUCUCUCGGGUUUUAUGGCCAUGAGCCAUUUAUCGGAAUCCGGGCCCACCAUUGCUUCUCCAUAGCUCGUAGGUUCAUUGUUGUCUAGCAACAUGACUUCCAAGACAGGAUUACUGUACCACUCUGAAGUAGUACGUAUCCUUGUCACCCUACGAGGUUUGGGAGUGACUUGAUCUGAAGUUUCAUGAUCACUAUCAUAAGCUUCUACUUCAAUUGGUGUAGGUGCCACAGGAACAACUUCCUGUGCCCUGCUACACACUGGUUGAAGUGAUGGUUCAAUAACCUCAUCAAGUCUCCACCAUCCUCCCACUCAAUUCUUUCGAGAGAAACCUUUCCUCGAGAAAGGACCCAAUUCUAGAAACAAUUCAUAUUGCUUUCGGAUCUGAAUUAGGAAGUAUACCCAACUGUUUUGGGUGUCCUAUGAAGAUGUACUUUAUCCGCUUUGGUUUCGAGCUUAAUCCUGAAACUUUUUCACAUAAGUGUCGCAGCCCCAAACCUUUAAGAAACGACAACUUAGGUUUCUCUAAACCAUAAUUCAUACGGUGUCAUCUCAUCGGAAUUACGUGGUGCCCUAUUUAAAGUGAAUGUGGUUGUCUUUAAUGCCUAACCCAUAAACUAUCGUGGCAGUUCGAUAAGAGACAUCAUGGUAUGCAUCAUAUCCAAUAGGGUGCAACUAUGAUGUUCGGACACACCAUCACACUAUGGUGUUCCAGGCGGUAUUAAUUGUGAAACAAUUUCCACAAUGUCUUAAUUGUGUGCCAAAACUCGUAACUCAGAUACUCAUCUCUAUGAUCAUAUCAUAGACAUUUUAUCCUCUUGUCACAAUGAUCUUCUACUUCACUCUGAAAUUACUUGAACCAUUCAACAAUUCAGACUUGUGUUUCAUCAAGUAAAUAUUCUCAACAUCUACUCGAAUCAUCUGUGAAGUAAGAACAUAACGAUAUUCACUGCAUGCCUCAGCACUCAUUGGACUGCACACAUCAAAAUGUGUUACUUCCAACAAGUUGCUAUCUUGUUCCAUCUUACUGAAAACGAGGCUUUUCAGUCAUCUUGCCCAUGUGGUAUGAUUUGCAUGUCCCAAGUGAUUCAAAAAUCAAGUGAGUCAAAACGGUCCAUUUGCAUGGAGUUUCUUCAUGCAUAUACACCAAUAGACAUGGUUCGCAUGUCUCAAACUUUUCAAAAACGAGUGAGCCCAAAGAUCCAUCAAUAUGGAGCUUCUUCAUGCGUUUUAUACCGAUAUGACUUACGUGGUAGUGCCACAAGUAGGUGGUACUAUCAUUACUAUCUUUUGGCAUGAACAUGUGUAUCACUACGAUCGAGAUUUAAUAAACCAUUCAUUUUAGGUGUAAGACCAUUGAAGGUAUUAUUCAAAUAAACAGAGUAACCAUUAUUCUCCUUAAAUGAAUAACCGUAUUGCGAUAGACGUAAUCCAAUCAUGUCUAUGCUCAACGCAAACACCAAAUAACAAUUAUUUAGGUUUAACACCAAUCUCUUUGGUAGAGGGAGCGUGCGAUGCUUGAUCAUAUCAAGCAUGGAAAAACUUACAACACAUAUCGUCAGCUCACCUUUAGCUAGUCUCUGUUUAUUCCGUAGCCUUUUGUUUCGAGUUACUAACACUUAGCAACCGAACUGGUAUCUAAUACCCUGGUGCUACUAGGAGUACUAGCAAAGUACACAUUAACACAAUGUAUAUCCAAUAUACUUCUAUCGACCUUGCCAGCCUUCUUAUCUACCAAGUAUCUAGGGUAAUUCUGCUCUAGUAGUUGUUCCCCUUAUUACAGAAGCACUUAGUCUCGGGUUUGGGUUUUACCUUGGGUUUCUUCACUAGAGCAGCAGCUGAUUUGCCGUUUCAUGAAGUAUCCCUUCUUGCCCUUGCCCUUCUUGAAACUAGUGGUUCCACCAACCAUCAACAAUUGAUGCUCCUUCUUGAUUUCUACUUUCGCGGUGUCAAACAUCGCGAAUACCUCAAGGAUCAUCAUAUCUAUCCCUGAUAUGUUAUAGUUCAUCAUGAAGCUCUAACAGCUUGGUGGCAAUGACUUUGGAGAACCAUCACUAUCUCAUCUGGAAGAUCAACUCCCACUCGAUUCAAGCGAUUGUUGUACUCAGACAAUCUGAGCACAAGCUCAACGAUUGAGCUUUUCUCCCUUAGUUUGCAGGUUAAGAAAGUCAUCGGAGGUCUUAUACCUCUUGACAUGGGCACGAGCCUGAAAUCCCAAUUUCAGCCCUCAAAACAUCUCAUAUGUUUCGCGAUGUUUCAAAAACGUCUUUGGUGCCUCAACUCUAAACCGUUUAACUGAACUAUCACGUAGUUAUCAAAACGUGUAUGUCAGAUGUUCGCAACAACCACAGACAACGUUCGAGGUUCAGCACACUGAGCGGUGCAUUAAGGACAUAAGCCUUCUAUGAAGCAAUGAGGACAAUCCUCAGUUUACGGACCUAGUCCGCAUAAUUGCUACUAUCAACUUUCAACUAAUUUUUCUCUAGGAACAUAUCUAAACAGUAGAACUAUAGCGUGAGCUACGACAUAAUUUGCAAAAACCUUUUGACUAUGUUCAGGAUAAUUAAGUUCAUCUUAUGAACUCCCACUCAGAUAGACAUCCCUCUAGUCAUCUAAGUGAUUACAUGAUCCGAGUCAAACUAGGCCGUGUCCGAUCAUCACGUGAGACGGACUAGUCAUCAUCGGUGAACAUCUUCAUGUUGAUCGUAUCUUCUAUACGACUCAUGUUCGACCUUUCGGUCUUCGUGUUCCGAGGCCAUGUAUGUACAUGCUAGGCUCGUCAAGUUAACCCUAAGUGUUUCGCGUGUGUAAAUCUGUCUUACACCCGUUGUAUGUGAACGUUAGAAUCUAACACCCGAUCAUCACGUGGUGCUUCGAAACACGAACUGUCGCAACGGUGCACAGUUAGGGGAGAACACUUCUUGAAAUUGUUGUAAGGGAUCAUCUUAUUUACUACCGUCGUUCUAAGCAAAUAAGAUGUAUAAACAUGAUAAACAUCACAUGCAAUCAAAUAGUGACAUGAUAUGGCCAUCAUCACUUUGCUCCUUUUGAUCUCCAUCUUCGGGGCUCCAUGAUCAUCAUCGUCACCGGCAUGACACCAUGAUCUCCAUCAUCAUGAUCUCCAUCAUCGUGUCUUCAUGAAGUUGCCUCGCCAACUAUUACUUCUACUACUAUGGCUAACGGUUAGCAAUAAAGUAAAGUAAUUACAUGACGUUUAAGUUGACACGCAGGUCACAAAUGAAUAAAGACAACUCCUAUGGCUCCUGCCGGUUGUCAUACUCAUCGACAUGCAAGUCGUGAUUCCUAUUACAAGAACAUGAUCAAUCUCAUACAUCACAUAUAUCAUUCAUCACAUCCUUUUUGGCCAUAUCACAUCACAUAGCAUACCCUGCAAAAACAAGUUAGACGUCCUCUAAUUGUUGUUUGCAUGUUUUACGUGGCUGCUAUGGGUUUCUAGCAAGAACGUUUCUUACCUACGCAUGAACAACAACGUGAUAUGCCAAUUGCUAUUUACCCUUCAUAAGGACCCUUUUCAUCGAAUCCGAUCCGACUAAAGUGGGAGAGACAGACACCCGCCAGCCACCUUAUGCAACUAGUGCAUGUUUGUCGGUGGAACCGGUCUCACGUAAGCGUACGUGUAAGGUUGGUCCGGGCCGCUUCAUCCCACGAUGCCGCCGAAUCAAGAUAAGACUAGUAACGGCAAGCAUAUUGAACAAUAUCAACGCCCACAACUACUUUGUGUUCUACUCGUGCAAAGAAUCUACGCAAUAGACCUAGCUCAUGAUGCCACUGUUGGGGAACGUAGCAGAAAUUCAAAAUUUUCCUACGUGUCACCAAGAUCUAUCUAUGGAGAUACUAGCAACGAGGGAAGGAGAGUGCAUCUACAUACCCUUGUAGAUCGCUAAGCGGAAGCGUUCAAGUGAACGGGGUUGAUGGAGUCGUACUCGUCGUGAUUCAGAUCACCGAUGAUCCUAGUGCCGAACGGACGGCACCUCCGCGUUCAACACACGUACAGCUCGACGAUGUCUCCCACGCCUUGAUCCAGCAAGGAGAGAGGGAGAGGUUGAGGAAGACUCCAUCCAGCAGCAGCACAACGGCGUGGUGGUGAUGGAGGAGCGUGGCAAUCCUGCAGGGCUUCGCCAAGCACCUACGGGAGAGGAGGAGGUGUCACGGGAGGGAGGGAGGCGCCAAGGGCUCAGGUAUAGAUGCCCUCCCUCCCCUCCACUAUAUAUAGGGGCAAGGGAGAGGGGGAGGCGCAUCCUUGCCCCUUCCUCCAAGGAAGGGGUGCGGCUAAGAGGGGGGGAGGAGUCCAUCCUCCCCAAGGCACCUCGGAGGUGCCUUCCCCCUUUAGGACUCUCCCCUUUUUCCUAUAUCUUGGCGCAUGGGCCUCUAGGGGCUGGUGCCCUUGGCCCAUGUAGGCCAAGGCGCACCCCCCUACAGCCCAUGUGGCCCCCCGGGGCAGGUGGCCCCACCCGGUGGGCCCCCGGGACCCUUCCGGUGGUCCCGGUACAAUACCGAUGACCCCGAAACUUGUCCCGAUGGCCGAAACAGGACUUCCUAUAUAUAAAUCUUUACCUCCGGACCAUUCCGGAACUCCUCGUGACGUCCGGGAUCUCAUCCGGGACUCCGAACAACAUUCGGUAACCACAUACAAACUUCCUUUAUAACCCUAGCGUCAUCGAACCUUAAGUGUGUAGACCCUACGGGUUCGGGAGACAUGUAGUCAUGACCGAGAUGUUCUCCGGUCAAUAACCAACAGCGGGAUCUGGAUACCCAUGUUGGCUCGCACAUGUUCCACGAUGAUCUCAUCGGAUGAACCACGAUGUCAAGGACUCAAUCAAUCCCGUAUACAAUUCCCUUUGUCUAGCGGUAUGGUACUUGCCCGAGAUUCGAUCGUCGGUAUACCGAUACCUUGUUCAAUCUCGUUACCGGCAAGCCUCUUUACUCGUUCCGUAACACAUCAUCCCGUGAUCAACCCCUUGGUCACAUUGUGCACAUUAUGAUGAUGUCCUACCGAGUGGGCCCAGAGAUACCUCUCCGUUUACACGGAGUGACAAAAUCCCAAUCUCGAUUCGUGCCAACCCAACAGACACUUUCAGAGAUACCCGUAGUGUACCUUUAUAGCCACCCAGUUACGUUGUGACGUUUGGCACACCCAAAGCACUCCUACGGUAUCCGGGAGUUGCACAAUCUCAUGGUCUAAGGAAAUGAUACUUGACAUUAGAAAAGCUUUAGCAUACGAACUACAUGAUCUUGUGCUAGGCUUAGNNNNNNNNNNUGAUCAACCCCUUGGUCACAUUGUGCACAUUAUGAUGAUGUCCUACCGAGUGGGCCCAGAGAUACCUCUCCGUUUACACGGAGUGACAAAAUCCCAAUCUCGAUUCGUGCCAACCCAACAGACAUUUUCAGAGAUACCCGUAGUGUACCUUUAUAGCCACCCAGUUACGUUGUGACGUUUGGCACACCCAAAGCACUCCUACGGUAUCCGGGAGUUGCACAAUCUCAUGGUCUAAGGAAAUGAUACUUGACAUUAGAAAAGCUUUAGCAUACGAACUACAUGAUCUUGUGCUAGGCUUAGGAUUGGGUCUUGUCCAUCACAUCAUUCUCCUAAUGAUGUGAUCCCGUUAUCAACGACAUCCAAUGUCCAUGGUCAGGAAACCGUAACCAUCUAUUGAUUAACGAGCUAGUCAACUAGAGGCUUACUAGGGACAUGGUGUUGUCUAUGUAUCCACACAUGUAUCUGAGUUUCCUAUCAAUACAAUUCUAGCAUGGAUAAUAAACGAUUAUCAUGAACAAGGAAAUAUAAUAAUAAUCAAUUUAUUAUUGCCUCUAGGGCAUAUUUCCAACAAGAAACGGGGAACAAACUGAUGAAAGAAUGAUCAUACCGAGGGAAUUCACUCAGAACUAACAAGAAUGAUAACGUGCUUUGACUGGAGCGGUUUAAAAACUGCUGGAAGGCUCUAGGGGAAUAAAGAUGGAAUGCCUUCAAAUUUCUAGGUCCGUAUGAUUUGAAAUACUUGCACACAAACCGCGCGAAAGCGUUCCUGGAAAUCUCAGCCCAAAAAAGGACGUUUAGUAAUUCUAAAAGGGACUACAGAAUGAAAAACAAUAGUUUUGGCAGUUAAAGUUUGAGAUUCGAUGGUGCCGUAGAUCCGUUUGGUCAUCAGGUGUAACGAGCCACACCCAUGUCUAGCUAGAGUAGUGUGCUAGGCUCAGGCUAGAGAAGAAACGGGGAACAAACUGAUGAAAGAAUGAUCAUACCGAGGGAAUUCACUCAGAACUAACAAGAAUGAUAACGUGCUCCGACUGGAGCGGUUUAGGAACUGCUGGAAGGCUCUAGGGGAAGAAAGAAGGAAUGACUUCUAAUUUUUAGGUCCGUAUGAUUUGAAAUACGUGCACACAAACCGCGCGAAAGCGUUCCUGGAAAUCUCAGCCCAAAAAAGGACGUUUAGUAUUCUAAAAGGGACUACAGAAUGAAAAACAAUAGUUUUGGCAGUUAAAGUUUGAGAUUCGACGGUGCCGUAGAUCCGUUUGGUCAUCAGGUGUUACGAGCCACACCCAUGUCUAGCUAGAAUAGUGUGCNNNNNNNNNNNNNNNNNNNNNNNNNCGUAUGAUUUGAAAUACGUGCACACAAACCGCGCGAAAGCGUUCCUGGAAAUCUCAGCCCAAAAAAGGACGUUUAGUAUUCUAAAAGGGACUACAGAAUGAAAAACAAUAGUUUUGGCAGUUAAAGUUUGAGAUUCGACGGUGCUGUAGAUCCGUUUGGUCAUCAGGUGUUACGAGCCACACCCAUGUCUAGCUAGAAUAGUGUGCUAGGCUCAGGCUAGAGAAGAAAAGGGGAACAAACUAAUGAAAGAAUGAUCAAUACGAGGGAAUUCACUCAGAACUAACAAUAAUGAUAACGUGCUCCGACUGGAGCGGUUUAGGAACUGCUGGAAGGCUCUAGGCGAAUAAAGAUGGAAUGACUUCUAAUUUUUACGUCCGUAUGAUUUGAAAUACUUGCACACAAACCACGCAAAAGCGUUCCUGGAAAUCUCGGCCUAAAAAGGACGUUUAGUAAUUCUAAAAGGGACUACAGGAUGAAAAAUAAUAGUUUGGGCAGUUAAAAUUUGAGAUUCGACGGUGCCGUAGAUCCGUUUGGUCAUCAGGUGUUACGAGCCACACCCAUGUCUAGCUAGAAUAGUGUGUUAGGCUCAGGCUAGAGAAGAAACGAGGAACAAACUGAUGAAAGAAUGAUCAUACCAAGGGAAUUCACUCAGAACUAACAAGAAUGAUAACGUGCUCCGACUGGAGCAGUUUAGAAACUGCUGGAAGGCUCUAGGGGAAUAAAGAUGGAAUGACUUCUGAUUUUUAGGUCCGUAUGAUUUGAAAUACGUGCACACAAACCCCGCGAAAGCGUUCCUGGAAAUCUCAGCCCAAAAAAGGACGUUUAGUAAUUCUAAAAGGGACUACAACAUGAAAAACAAUAGUUUUGGCAGUUAAAGUUUGAGAUUUCAUGGUGCCGUAGAUCUGUUUGGUCAUCAGGUGUUACGAGCCACACCCAUGUCUAGCUAGAAUAGUGUGUUAGGCUCAGGCUAGAAAAGAAACGGGAAACAAAGUGAUGAAAGAAUGACCAUACCGAGGGAAUUCACUCAGAACUAACAAGAAUGAUAACAUGCUCCGACUUGAGCGGUUUAGGAACUGCUGGAAGGCUCUAGGGGAAUAAAGAUGGAAUGACUUCUAAUGUUUAGGUCCGUAUGAUUUGAAAUACUUGCACAUAAACCGCACAAAAGCGUUCCUGGAAAUCUCAGCCCAAAAAAGGACGUUUAGUAAUUCUAAAAGGGACUACAGGAUGAAAAACAAUAGUUUUGGCAGUUAAAGUUUGAGAUUCGACGGUGCCGUAGAUCCGUUUGGUCAUCAGGUGUUACGAGCCACACCCAUGUCUAGCUAGAAUAGUGUGUUAGGCUCAGGCUAGAGAAGAAACUUGGAACAAACUGAUGAAAGAAUGAUCAAACCAACGGAAUUCACUCAGAACUAACAAUAAUGAUAACGUGCUCCGACUGGAGCAGUUUAGGAACUGCUGGAAGGCUCUAGGGGAAUAAAGAUGGAAUGACUUCUAAUUUUUAGGUCCGUAUGAUUUGAAAUACUUGCACGCAAACCGCGCGAAAGCGUUCCUGGAAAUAUCAGCCCAAAAAAGGACGUUUAGUAAUUCUAAAAGGGACUACAGGAUGAAAACAAUAGUUUUGGCAGUUAAAGUUUGAGAUUCAACAGUGCCGUAGAUCCGUUUGGUCAUCAGGUGUUAUGAGCCAUACCCAUGUCUAGCUAGAGUAGUGUGCUAGGCUCAGGCUAGAGAAGAAACAGGGAACAAACUGAUGAAAGAAUGAUCAUACCGAGGGAAUUCACUCAGAACUAACAAGAAUGAUAACGUGCUCCGACUGGAGCGGUUUAGGAACUGCUGGAAGGCUCUAGGGGAAUAAAGAUGGAGUGACUUCUAAAUUUUUAGGUCCGUAUGAUUUAAAAUACUUGCACACAAACCGCACGAAAGCGUUCCUUGAAAUCUCAGCCCAAAAAAGGACGUUUAGUAAGUCUAAAAGGGACUAUAGGAUGAAAAACAAUAGUUUUGGCAGUUAAAGUUUGAGAUUCGAUGGUGCCGUAGAUCUGUUUGGUCAUCAGGUGUUACGAGCCACACCCAUGUCUAGUUGGAAUAGUGUGCUAGGCUCAGACUAGAGAAGAAACAGGGAACAAACUGAUGAAAGAAUGAUCAAACCGAGGAAAUUCACUCAGAACUAACAAUAAUGAUAACAUGCUCCGACUGGAGCGGUUUAGGAACUGCUGGAAGGCUCUAGGGGAAUAAAGAUGGAAUGACUUCUAAAUUUUUAGGUCCGUAUGAUUUGAAAUAGUUGCACACAAACUGCGCGAAAGCGUUCCUGGAAAUCUCAGCCCAAAAAAGGACGUUUAGUAAUUCUAAAAGGGACUAUAGGAUGAAAAACAAUAGUUUUGGCAGUUAAAGUUUGAGAUUCGACGGUGCCGUAGAUCCGUUUGGUCAUCACGUGUUACAAGCCACACCCAUGUCUAGCUAGAGUAGUGUGCUAGGCUCAGACUAUAGAAGAAACGGGGACCAAACUGAUGAAAGAAUGAUCAAACCGAGGAAAUUCACUCAGAACUAACAAUAAUGAUAACAUGCUCCGACUGGAGCGGUUUAGGAACUACUGGAAGGCUCUAGGGGAAUAAAGAUGGAAUGACUUCUAAAUUUUUAGGUCCGUAUGAUUUUAAAUAGUUGCACACAAACUGCGCGAAAGCGUUCCUGGAAAUCUCAGCCCAAAAAAGGACGUUUAGUAAUUCUAAAAGGGACUACAGGAUGAAAAACAAUAGUUUGGGCAGUUAAAAUUUGAGAUUCGACGGUGCCGUAGAUCCGUUUGGUCAUCAGGUGUUACGAGCCACACCCAUGUCUAGCUAGAGUAGUGUGCUAGGCUCAGGCUAGAGAAGAAACAGGGAACAAACUGAUGAAAGAAUGAUCAUACCGAGGGAAUUCACUCAGAACUAACAAGAAUGAUAACGUGCUCUGACUGGAGCGGUUUAAGAACUGUUGGAAGGCUCUAGGGGAAUAAAGAUGGAAUCACUUCAAAUUUUUACGUCCGUGUGAUUUGAAAUACUUGCACACAAACCGCACGAAAGCGUUCCUGGAAAUCUCAGCCCAAAAAAGGACGUUUAGUAAGUCUAAAAGGGACUACACGAUGAAAAACAAUAGUUUUGGCAGUUAAAGUUUGAGAUUCGACAGUGCCGUAGAUCCGUUUGGUCAUCAGGUGUAACGAGCCACACCCAUGUCUAGAUAGAGUAGUGUGCUAGGCUCAAACUAGAGAAGAAACGGGGAACAAACUGAUGAAAGAAUGAUCAUACCGAGGGAAUUCACUCAGAAAUAACAAGAAUGAUAACGUGCUCUGACUGGAGCGGUUUAGGAACUGCUGGAAGGCUCUAGGGGAAUAAAGAAGGAAUGACUUCUAAUUUUUAGGUCCGUAUGAUUUGAAAUACGUGCACACAAACCCCGAGAAAGCGUUCCUGGAAAUCUCGACCCAAAAAAGGACGUUUAGUAAUUCUAAAAGGGACUACGGGAUGAAAAACAAUAGUUUUGGCAGUUAAAGUUUGAGAUUCGAUAAUGCCGUAGAUCCAUUUGGUCAUCAGGUGUAACGAGCCACACCCAUGUCUAGCUAGAGUAGUGUGCUAGGCUCAGACUAGAGAAGAAACAGGGAACAAACUGAUGAAAGAAUGAUCAUAUCGAGGGAAUUCACUCAGAACUAACAAGAAUGAUAACAUGCUCCGACUUGAGCGGUUUAGGAACUGCUGGAAGGCUCUAGGGGAAUAAAGAUGGAAUGACUUCUAAUUUUUAGGUCCGUAUGAUUUGAAAUACUUACACACAAACCACGCGAAAGCGUUCCUGGAAAUCUCAGCCCAAAAAAGGACGUUUAGUAAUUCUAAAAGGGACUACAUGAUGAAAAACAAUAGUUUUCGCAGUUAAAGUUUGAGAUUCGACGGUGCCGUAGAUCCGUUUGGUCAUCAAGUGUUACGAGCCACACCCAUGUCUAGCUAGAAUAGUGUGUUAGGCUCAGCCUAGAGAAGAAACGGGGAACAAACUGAUGAAAGAAUGAUCAUACCGAGGGAAUUCACUCAGAACUUACAAGAAUGAUAACGUGCUCCGACUUGAGCGGUUUAAGAACUGUUGGAAGGCUCUAGGGGAAUAAAGAUGGAAUCACUUCAAAUUUUUACGUCCGUGUGAUUUGAAAUACUUGCACACAAACCCCGAGAAAGCGUUCCUGGAAAUCUCGGCCGAAAAAAGGAUGUUUAAUAAUUCUAAAAGGGACUACAGGAUGAAAAACAAUAGCUUUGGCAGUUAAAGUUUGUGAUUCGAUGGUGCCGUAGAUCUGUUUGGUCAUCAGGUGUUAUGAGCCACACCCAUGUCUAGCUAGAAUAGUGUGUUAGGCUCAGGCUAGAGCAGAAACUAGGAACAAACUUAUGAAAGAAUGAUCAUACCGAGGGAAUUCACUCAGAACUAACAAGAAUGAUAACGUGCUCCGACUGGAGCGGUUUAGGAACUGCUGGAAGGCUCUAGGGGAAUAAAGAUGGAAUGACUUCUAAUUUUUAGGUCCGUAUGAUUUGAAAUACAUGCACACAAACCCCAAGAAAGCGUUCCUAGAAAUCUCAGCCCAAAAAGGACGUUUAGUAAUUCUAAAAGGGACUACAGGAUGAAAAACAAUAGGUUUGGCAGUUAAAGUUUGAGAUUCGAUAAUGCCGUAGAUCCGUUUGGUCAUCAGGUGUAACGAGCCACACCCAUGUCUAGCUACAUUAGUGUGCUAGGCUCAGACUAGAGAAGAAACGGGGAACAAACUGAUGAAAGAAUGAUCAUACCGAGGGAAUUCACUCAGAACUAACAAGAACGAUAACAUGCUCCGACUGCAGCGGUUUAGGAACUGCUGGAAGGCUCUAGGGGAAUAAAGAAGGAAUGACUUCUAAUUUUUAGGUCCGUAUGAUUUGAAAUACUUGCACACAAACCGCGCGAAAGCAUUCCUGGAAAUCUCAGCCCAAAAAAGGACGUUUAGUAAUUCUAAAAGGGACUACAGGAUGAAAAACAAUAAUUUUGGCAGUUAAAGUUUGAGAUUCGACGGUGCCGUAGAUCCGUUUGGUCAUCAGGUGUUACGGGCCAUACCCAUGUCUAGCUAGAAUAGUGUGUUAGGCUCAGGUUAGAGAAGAAACGGGGAACAAAGUGAUGAAAGAAUGAUCAUACCGAGGGAAUUCACUCAGAACUAACAAGAAUGAUAACGUGCUCCGACUGGAGCGGUUUAGGAAUUGCUGGAAGGCUCUAGGGGAAUAAAGAUGGAAUGACUUCUAUAUUUUACGUCCGUAUGAUUUGAAAUACUUGCACACAAACCACGCAAAAGCACUCCUGGAAAUAUCAGCCUAAAAAGGAUGUUUAGUAAUUCUAAAAGGGACUACAGGAUGAAAAAUAAUAGUUUUGGCAGUUAAAAUUUGAGAUUCAACGGUGCCGUAAAUCCGUUUGGUCAUCAGGUGUUACGAGCCACACCCAUGUCUAGCUAGAAUAGUGUGUUAGGCUCAGGUUAGAGAAGAAACGGGGAACAAACUGAUGAAAGAAUGAUCAUACAAGGGGAAUUCACUCAGAACUAUCAAGAAUGAUAACGUGCUCCGACUGGAGCAGUUUAGGAACUGCCGGAAGGCUCUAGGGGAAUAAAGAUGGAAUGACUUCUAAUUUUUAUGUCCGUAUGAUUUGAAAUACUUGCACACAAACCACGCAAAAGCGUUCCUGGAAAUCUCAGCCUAAAAAGGACGUUUAGUAAUUCUAAAAGGGACUACAGGAUGAAAAACAAUAGUUUGGGCAGUUAAAAUUCGAGAUUCGACGGUGCCGUAGAUCCGUUUGGUCAUCAGGUGUUACGAGCCACACCCAUGUCUAGCUAGAAUAGUGUGUUAGGCUCAGGCUAGAGAAGAAACGGGGAACAAACUGAUGAAAGAAUGAUCAUAUCGAGGGAAUUCACUCAGAACUAACAAGAAUGAUAACGUGCUCCGACUGGAGCGGUUUAGUAACUGCUGGAAGGCUCUAGGGGAAUAAAGAUGGAAUGACUUCUAAUUAUUAGGUCCGUAAGAUUUGAAUUACAUGCACACAAACCCCGAGAAAGCGUUCCUGGAAAUCUCGGUCGAAAAAAGGAUGUUUAGUAAUUCUAAAAGGGACUACAGGAUGAAAAACAAUAGUUUUGGCAGUUAAAGUUUGUGAUUCGAUGGUGCCGUAGAUCUGUUUGGUCAUCAGGUGUUACGAGCCACACCCAUGUCUAGCUAGAAUAGUGUGUUAGGCUCAGGCUAGAGCAGAAACGGGGAACAAACUUAUGAAAGAAUGAUCAUGCCGAGGGAAUUCACUCAGAACUAACAAGAAUGAUAACGUGCUCCGACUGGAGCGGUUUAGGAACUGCUGGAAGGCUCUAGGGGAAUAAAGAUGGAAUGACAUCAAAUUUUUAGGUCCGUAUGAUUUGAAAUACUUGCACACAAACCGCAAGAAAGCGUUCUUGGAAAUCUCCGCCCAAAAAAGGACGUUUAGUAAUUCUAAAAGGGUCUACAGGAUGAAAAACAAUAGUUCUGGCAGUUAAAGUUUGAGAUUCGAUAAUGUCGUAGAUCCGUUUGGUCAUCAGGCGUAACGAGCCACACCCAUUUCUAGCUAGAGUAGUGUGCUAGGCUCAGACUAGAGAAGAAACGGGGAACAACCUGAUGAAAGAAUGAUCAUACCGAGGGAAUUCACUCAGAACUAACAAGAAUGAUAACGUGCUCCGACUGGAGCGGUUUAGGAACUGCUGGAAGGCUCUACGGGAAUAAAGAAGGAAUGACUUCUAAUUUUUAGGUCCGUAUGAUUUGAAAUACGUGCACACAAACCCCGAGAAAGCGUUCCUGGAAAUCUCGGCCCAAAAAAGGACGUUUAGUAUUCUAAAAGCGACUACAGAAUGAAAAACAAUAGUUUUGGUAGUUAAAGUUUGAGAUUUAACGGUGCCGUAGAUCUGUUUGGUCAUCAGGUGUUACGAGCCACACCCAUGUCUAGCUAGAAUAGUGUGUUAGGCUCAGGCUAGAUAAGAAACAGGGAACAAAGUGAUGAAAGAAUGAUCAUACCAAGGGAAUUCACUCAGAACUAACAAGAACGAUAACAUGCUCCGACUGGAGUGGUUUAGGAACUGCUGGAAGGCUCUAGGGGAAUAAAGAUGGAAUGACUUCUAAUUUUUAGGUCUGUAUGAUUUGAAAUACUUGCACACAAACCGCACGAAAGCGUUCCUGGAAAUCUCAUCCCAAAAAAGGACGUUUAGUAAUUCUAAAAGGGACUACAGGAUGAAAAACAAUAGUUUUGGCAGUUAAAGUUUGAGAUUCGAUAAUGCUGUAGAUCCGUUUGGUCAUCAGGUGUAACGAGCCACACCCAUGUCUAGCUAGAGUAGUGUGCUAGGCUCAGACUAGAGAAGAAACGGGGAACAAACUGAUGAAAGAAUGAUCAUACCGAGGGAAUUCACUCAGAACUAACAAUAAUGAUAACGUGCUCCGACUGGAGCGGUUUAGGAACUGCUGGAAGGCUCUAGGGGAAUAAAGAUGGAAUGAGUUCUAAUUUUUAGGUCUGUAUGAUUUGAAAUACUUGCACACAAACCGCGUGAAAGCAUUCCUGGAAAUUUCAGCCCAAAAAAGGACGUUUAGUAAUUUUAAAAGGGACUACACGAUGAAAAACAAUAGUUUUGGCAGUUAAAGUUUGAGAUUCGACGGUGCCGUAGAUCCGUUUGGUCAUCAGGUGUUACGAGCCACACCCAUGUCUAGCUAGAAUAGUAUGUUAGGCUCGGGUAAGAGAAGAAACGGGGAACAAACUGAUGAAAGAAUGAUCAUACCAAGGGAAUUCACUCAGAACUAACAAGAAUGAUAACGUGCUCCGACUGGAGCGGUUUAGGAACUGCUGGAAGGCUCUAGGGGAAUAAAGAUGGAAUGACUUCUAAUUUUUACGUUCGUAUGAUUUGAAAUACUUGCACACAAACCACGCAAAAGCGUUCCUGGAAAUCUCAUCCUAAAAAAGGACGUUUAGUAAUUCUAAAAGGGACUACAGGAUGAAAAAUAAUAGUUUGGGCAGUUAAAAUUUGAGAUUCGACGGUGCCGUAGAUCCGUUUGGUCAUCAGGUGUUACGAGCCACACCCAUGUCUAGCUAGAAUAGUGUGUUAGGCUCAGGCUAGAGAAGAAACGGGGAACAAACUGAUGAAAGAAUGAUCAUAUCGAGGGAAUUCACUCAGAACUAACAAGAAUGAUAACGUGCUCCGACUGGAGCAGUUUAGAAACUGCUGGAAGGCUCUAGGGGAAUAAAGAUGGAAUGACUUCUAAUUUUUAGGUCUGUAUGAUUUGAAAUACGUGCACACGAACCCCGAGAAAGCGUUCCUGGAAAUCUCGGCCCAAAAAAGGACGUUUAGUAAUUCUAAAAGGGACUACAGGAUGAAAAACAAUAGUUUUGGCAGUUAAAGUUUGAGAUUCGACGGUGCCGUAGAUCCGUUUGUUCAUCAGGUGUUACGAGCCACACCCAUGUCUAGCUAGAAUAGUGUGUUAGGCUCAGGCUAGAGAAGAAACGGGGAACAAACUGAUGAAAGAAUGAUCAUACCGAGGGAAUUCACUCAGAACUAACAAGAAUGAUAACGUGCUCCGACUGGAGCGGUUUAGGAACUGCUAGAAGGCUCUAGGGGAAUAAAGAAGGAAUGACUUCUAAUUUUUAGGUCCGUAUGAUUUGAAAUACGUGCACACAAACCCCGAGAAAGCGUUCCUGGAAAUCUUGGCCCAAAAAAGGACGUUUAGUAUUCUAAAAGCGACUACAGAAUGAAAAACAAUAGUUUUGCUAGUUAAAGUUUGAGAUUUGAUGGUGCCGUAGAUCUGUUUGGUCAUCAGGUUUUACGAGCCACACCCAUGUCUAGCUAGAAUAGUGUGUUAGGCUCAGGCUAGAAAAGAAACAGGGAAUAAAGUGAUGAAAGAAUGAUCAUACCAAGGGAAUUCACUCAGAACUAACAAGAACGAUAACAUGCUCCGACUGGAGUGGUUUAGAACUGCUGGAAGGCUAAAGGGGAAUAAAGAUGGAAUGACUUCUAAUUUUUAGGUCCGUAUGAUUUGAAAUACUUGCACACAAACCGCACGAAAGUGUUCCUGGAAAUCUCAGCCCAAAAAAGGACGUUUAGUAAUUCUAAAAGGGACUACAGGAUGAAAAACAAUAGUUUUGGCAGUUAAAGUUUGAGAUUCGAUAAUGACGUAGAUCCGUUUGGUCAUCAGGUGUAACGAGCCACACCCAUGUCUAGCUAGAGUAGUGUGCUAGGCUCAGACUAGAGAAGAAACGGGGAACAAACUGAUGAAAGAAUGAUCAUACCGAGGGAAUUCACUCAGAACUAACAAUAAUGAUAACGUGCUCCGACUAGAGCGGUUUAGGAACUGCUGGAAGGCUCUAGGGGAAUAAAGAUGGAAUGACUUCUAAUUUUUAGGUCCCUAUGAUUUGAAAUACUUGCACACAAACCGCGUGAAAGCAUUCCUGGAAAUUUCAGCCCAAAAAAGGACGUUUAGUAAUUUUAAAAGGGACUACACGAUGAAAAAGAAUAGUUUUGGCAGUUAAAGUUUGAGAUUCGACGGUGCCGUAGAUCCGUUUGGUCAUCAGGUGUUACGAGACACACCCAUGUCUAGCUAGAAUAGUAUGUUAGGCUCGGGUUAGAGAAGAAACGGGGAACAAACUGAUGAAAGAAUGAUCAUACCAAGGGAAUUCACUCAGAACUAACAAGAAUGAUAACGUGCUCCGACUGGAGCGGUUUAGGAACUGCUGGAAGGCUCUAGGGGAAUAAAGAUGGAAUGACUUCUAAUUUUUACGUUCGUAUGAUUUGAAAUACUUGCAAACAAACCACGCAAAAGCGUUCCUGGAAAUUUCAUCCUAAAAAAGGACGUUUAGUAAUUCUAAAAGGGACUACAGGAUGAAAAAUAAUAGUUUGGGCAGUUAAAAUUUGAGAUUCGAUGGUGCCGUAGAUCCGUUUGGUCAUCAGGUGUUACGAGCCACACCCAUGUCUAGCUAGAAUAGUGUGUUAGGCUCAGGCUAGAGAAGAAACGGGGAACAAACUGAUGAAAGAAUGAUCAUAUCGAGGGAAUUCACUCAGAACUAACAAGAAUGAUAACGUGCUCCGACUGGAGCAGUUUAGAAACUGCUGGAAGGCUCUAGGGGAAUAAAGAUGGAAUGACUUCUAAUUUUUAGGUCUGUAUGAUUUGAAAUACGUGCACACAAACCCCGAGAAAGCGUUCCUGGAAAUCUCGUCCGGAAAAAGGAUGUUUAAUAAUUCUAAAAGGGACUACAGGAUGAAAAACAAUAGUUUUGGCAGUUAAAGUUUGUGAUUCGAUGGUGCCGUAGAUCUGUUUGGUCAUCAGGUGUUACGGGCCACACCCAUGUCUAGCUAGAAUAGUGUGUUAGGCUCAGGCUAGAGCAGAAACGGGGAGCAAACUUAUGAAAGAAUGAUCAUAGCGAGGGAAUUUACUCAGAACUAACAAGAAUGAUAACGUGCUCCGACUGGAGCGGUUUAGGAACUGCUGGAAGGCUCUAGGGGAAUAAAGAUGGAAUGACUUCAAAUUUUCAGGUAUGUAUGAUCUGAAAUACUUGCACACAAACCGCGAGAAAGCGUUCCUGGAAAUCUCAACCCAAAAAAGGAUGUUUAGUAAUUCUAAAAGGGACUACAGGAUUAAAAACAAUAGUUUUGGCAGUUAAAGUUUGAGAUUCGAUAAUGUCGUAGAUCCGUUUGGUCAUCAGGUGUAACGAGCCACACCCAUGUCUAGCUAGAGUAGUGUGCUAGGCUCAUACUAGAGAAGAAACGGGGAACAAACUGAUGAAAGAAUGAUCAUACCGAGGGAAUUCACUCAGAACUAACAAGAAUGAUAACGUGCUCCGACUGGAGCGGUUUAGGAACUGCUGGAAGGCUCUAGGGGAAUAAAGAUGGAAUGACUUCUUAUUUUUAGGUCCGUAUGAUUUGAAAUACAUGCACACAAACCCCAAGAAAGCGUUCCGGGAAAUCUCGGCCCAAAGAAUGAUGUUUAGUAAUUCUAAAAGGGACUAUAGAAUGAAAAACAAUAGUUUUGGCAGUUAAAGUUUGAGAUUUGACGGUGUCGUAGAUCUGUUUGGUCAUCAGGUGUUACGAGCCACACCCAUUUCUAGCUAGAAUAGUGUGUUAGGCUCAGGCUAGAAAAGAAACGGGGAACAAAGUGAUGAAAGAAUGAUCAUACCGAGGGAAUUCACUCAGAACUAACAAGAAUGAUAACAUGCUCCGACUAGAGCGGUUUAGGAACUGCUGGAAGGCUCUAGGGGAAUAAAUAUGGAAUGACUUCUAAUUUUCAGGUCCGUAUGAUUUGAAAUACUUGCACACAAACCGCGCGAAAGCGUUCCUGGAAAUCUCAUCCCAAAGAAGGUCGUUUAGUAAUUCUAAAAGGGACUACAGGAUGAAAAACAAUAGUUUUGGCAAUUUAAGGUUUGAGAUUCGACGGUGCCGUAGAUCCGUUUGGUCAUCAGGUGUUACGAGCCACACCCAUGUCUAGCUAGAAUAGUGUGCUAGGCUCAGGCUAGAGAAGAAACAGGGAACAAACUGAUGAAAGAAUGAUCAAACCGAGGGAAUUCACUCAGAACUAACAAUAAUGAUAACGUUCUCCGUCUGGAGCGGUUUAGGAACUGCUGGAAGGCUCUAGGGGAAUAAAGAUGGAAUGACUUCUAAUUUUUAGGUCCGUAUGAUUUGAAAUACUUGCACACAAACCGCGCCAAAUCGUUCCUGGAAAUCUCAGCCCAAAAAAGGACGUUUAGUAAUUCUAAAAGGGACUACAGGAUGAAAAACAAUAGUUUUGGCAGUUAAAGUUUGAGAUUCGAUGGUGCCGUAGACCCGUUUGGUCAUCAGGUGUUACGAGCCACACCCAUGUCUAGCUAGAGUAGUGUGCUAGGUUCAGACUAGAGAAGAAACAGGGAACAAAGUGAUGAAAGAAUGAUCAUACCGAGGGAAUUCACUCAGAACUAACAAGAAUGAUAACGUGCUCCGACUGGAGCGGUUUAGGAACUGCUGGAAGGCUCUAGGGGAAUAAAGAUGGAAUGACUUCUAAUUUUUACGUCCGUAUGAUUUGAAAUACUUGCACACAAACCACGCAAAAGCGUUCCUGGAAAUCUCAGCCUAAAAAAGGACGUUUAGUAAUUCAAAAAGGGACUACAAAAUGAAAAACAAUAGUUUUGGCAGUUAAAGUUUGAGAUUCGAUGGUGCCGUAGAUCCGUUUGGUCAUCAGGUGUUACGAGCCACACCCAUGUCUAGCUAGGAUAGUGUGUUAGGCUCAGGCUAGAGAAGAAACGGGGAACAAACUGAUGAAAGAAUGAUCAUACCGAGGGAAUUCACUCAGAACUAACAAGGAUGAUAACAUGCUCCGACUAGAGCGGUUUAGGAACUGCUGGAAGGCUCUAGGGGAAUAAAGAUGGAAUGACUUCUAAUUUUUAGGUCCGUAUGAUUUGAAAUACUUGCACACAAACCGCAAGAAAGCGUUCCUGGAAAUCUCAGCCCAAAAAAGGACGUUUAGUAAUUCUAAAAGGGACUACAGGAUGAAAAACAAUAGUUCUGGCAGUUAAAGUUUGAGAUUCGAUAAUGCCGUAGAUCUGUUUGGUCAUCAGGUGUAACGAGCCACACCCAUGUCUAGCUAGAGUAGUGUGCUAGGCUCAGACUAGAGAAGAAACGGGGAACAAACUGAUGAAAGAAUGAUUAUACCGAGGGAAUUCACUCAGAACUAACGAGAAUGAUAACGUGCUCCGACUGGAGCGGUUUAGGAACUGCUGGAAGGCUCUAGGGGAAUAAAGAUGGAAUGACUUCAAAUUUUUAGGUCUGUAUGAUUUGAAAUACUUGCACACAAACCGCAAGAAAGCGUUCCUUGAAAUCUCAGCCCAAAAAAGGACGUUUAGUAAUUCUAAAAGGGACUACAGGAUGAAAAACAAUAGUUCUGGCAGUUAAAGUUUGAGAUUCGAUAAUGUCGUAGAUCCGUUUGGUCAUCAGGUGUAACGAGCCACACCCAUGUCUAGCUAGAGUAGUGUGCUAGGCUCAGAAUAGAGAAGAAACGGGGAACAAACUGAUGAAAGAAUGAUCAUACCGAGGGAAUUCACUCAGAACUAACAAGAAUGAUAACGUGCUCCGACUGGAGCGGUUUAGGAACUGCUGGAAGGCUCUAGGGGAAUAAAGAAGGAAUGACUUCUAAUUUUUAGGUCCGUAUGAUUUGAAAUACGUGCACACAAACCGCGCGAAAGCGUUCCUGGAAAUCUCAGCCAAAAAAAGGACGUUUAGUAUUCUAAAAGGGACUACAGAAUGAAAAACAAUAGUUUUGGCAGUUAAAGUUUGAGAUUCGACGGUGCUGUAGAUCCGUUUGGUCAUCAGGUGUUACGAGCCACACCCAUGUCUAGCUAGAAUAGUGUGCUAGGCUCAGGCUAGAGAAGAAAAGGGGAACAAACUAAUGAAAGAAUGAUCAAUCCGAGGGAAUUCACUCAGAACUAACAAUAAUGAUAACGUGCUCCGACUGGAGCGGUUUAGGAACUGCUGGAAGGCUCUAGGCGAAUAAAGAUGGAAUGACUUCUAAUUUUUACGUCCGUAUGAUUUGAAAUACUUGCACACAAACCACGCAAAAGCGUUCCUGGAAGUCUCGGCCUAAAAAGGACGUUUAGUAAUUCUAAAAGGGACUACAGGAUGAAAAAUAAUAGUUUGGGCAGUUAAAAUUUGAGAUUCGACGGUGCCGUAGAUCCAUUUGGUCAUCAAGUGUUACGAGCCACACCCAUGUCUAGCUAGAAUAGUGUGUUAGGCUCAGGCUAGAGAAGAAACGGGGAACAAACUGAUGAAAGAAUGAUCAUACCAAGGGAAUUCACUCAGAACUAACAAGAAUGAUAACGUGCUCCGACUGGAGCAGUUUAGAAACUGCUGGAAGGCUCUUGGGGAAUAAAGAUGGAAUGACUUCAAAUUUUUAGGUCCGUAUGAUUUGAAAUACUUGCACACAAACCACGCGAAAGCGUUCCUGGAAAUCUCAGCCCAAAAAAGGACGUUUAGUAAUUCUAAAAGGGACUACAUGAUGAAAAACAAUAGUUUUGGCAGUUAAAGUUUGAGAAUCGUCGGUGCCGUAGAUCCGUUUGGUCAUCAGCUGUAACGAGCCACACCCAUGUCUAGCUAGAGUAGUGUGCUAGGCUCAGACUAGAGAAGAAACAGGGAACAAAGUGAUGAAAGAAUGAUCAUACCGAGGGAAUUCACUUAGAACUAACAAGAAUGAUAACAUGCUCCGACUUGAGCGAUUUAGGAACUUCUGGAAGGCUCUAGGGGAAUAAAGAUGGAAUGACUCAAAUUUUUAGGCCCGUAUGAUUUGAAAUACAUGCACACAAACCGCGAGAAAGUGUUCCUGGAAAUCUUAGCCCAAAAAAGGACGUUUAGUAAUUCUAAAAGGGACUACAGGAUGAAAAACAAUAGUUUUGGUAGUUAAAGUUUCAGAUUCGAUAAUGCCCUAGAUCCGUUUGGUCAUCAGGUGUAACGAGCCACACCAAUGUCUAGCUAGAGUAGUGUGCUAGGCUCAGACUAGAUAAGAAACGGGGAAGAAACUGAUGAAAGAAUGAUCAGACCGAGGGAAUUCACUCAGAACUAACAAUAAUGAUAACGUGCUCCGAGUGGAGCGGUUUAGGAACUGCUGGAAGGCUCUAGGGGAAUAAAGAUGGAAUGACUUCUAAUUUUUAGGUCCGUAUGAUUUGAAAUACGUGCACACAAACCCCGAGAAACCGUUCCUUGAAAUCUCGGCCCAAAAAAGGACGUUUAGUAAUUCUAAAAGGGACUACAAAAUGAAAAACAAUAGUUUUGGCAGUUAAAGUUUGAGAUUCGACGGUGUCGUAGACCCGUUUGGUCUUCAGGUGUUACGAGCCACACCCAUGUCUAGCCAGAGUAGUGUGCUAGGUUCAGACUAGAGAAGAAACGGGGAACAAAGUGAUGAAAGAAUGAUCAUACCGAGGGAAUUCACUCAGAACUAACAAGAAUGAUAACGUGCUCCGACUGGAGCGGGUUAGGAACUCCUGGAAGGCUCUAGGGGAAUAAAGAUGGAAUGACUUCUAAUUUUUACGUCCGUAUGAUUUGAAAUACUUGCACACAAACCACGCAAAAGCGUUCCUGGAAAUCUCAGCCUAAAAAAGGACGUUUAGUAAUUCUAAAAGGGACUACAGGAUGAAAAAUAAUAGUUUGGUCAUCAGGUGUUACGAGCCACACCCAUGUCUAGCUAGAAUAGUGUGCUAGGCUCAGGCUAGAGAAGAAACGGGGAAUAAACUGAUGAAAGAAUGAUCAAACCGAGGGAAUUCACUCAGAACUAACAAUAAUGAUAACGUUCUCCGUCUGGAGCGGUUUAGGAACUGCUGGAAGGCUCUAGGGGAAUAAAGAUGGAAUGACUUCUAAUUUUUAGGUCCGUAUGAUACGAAAUACUUGCACACAAACCGCGCGAAAUCGUUCCUGGAAAUCUCAGCCCAAAAAAGGACGUUUAGUAAUUCUAAAAGGGACUACAGCAUGAAAAACAAUAGUUCUGGCAGUUAAAGUUUGAGAUUCGAUAAUGCCGUAGAUCCGUUUGGUCAUCAGGUGUAACGAGCCACACCCAUGUCUAGCUAGAGUAGUAUGCUAGGCUCAGACUAGAGAAGAAACGGGGAACAAACUGAUGAAAGAAUGAUUAUACCGAGGGAAUUCACUCAGAACUAACAAGAAUGAUAACGUGCUCCGGCUGGAGCGGUUUAGGAACUGCUAGAAGGCUCUAGGGGAAUAAAGAUGGAAUGACUUCAAAUUUUUAGGUCUGUAUGAUUUGAAAUACUUGCACACAAACCGCAAGAAAGCGUUCCUGGAAAUCUCAGCCCAAAAAAGGACGUUUAGUAAUUCUAAAAGGGACUAUAGGAUGAAAAACAAUAGUUCUGGUAGUUAAAGUUUGAGAUUCGAUAAUGUCAUAGAUCCGUUCGGUCAUCAGGUGUAACGAGCCACACCCAUGUCUAGCUAGAGUAGUGUGCUAGGCUCAGACUAGAGAAGAAACGGGGAACAAACUGAUGAAAGAAUGAUCAUACCGAGGGAAUUCACUCAGAACUAACAAGAAUGAUAACGUGCUCCGACUGGAGCGGUUUAGGAACUGCUGGAAGGCUCUAGGGGAAGAAAGAAGGAAUGACUUCUAAUUUUUAGGUCCGUAUGAUUUGAAAUACGUGCACACAAACCGCGCGAAAGCGUUCCUGGAAAUCUCAGCCCAAAAAAGGACGUUUAGUAUUCUAAAAGGGACUACAGAAUGAAAAACAAUAGUUUUGGCAGUUAAAGUUUGAGAUUCGACGGUGCCGUAGAUCCGUUUGGUCAUCAGGUGUUACGAGCCACACCCAUGUCUAGCUAGAAUAGUGUGCUAGGCUCAGGCUAGAGAAGAAAAGGGGAACAAACUGAUGAAAGAAUGAUCAAACCGAGGGAAUUCACUCAGAACUAACAAUAAUGAUAACGUGCUCCGACUGGAGCGGUUUAGGAACUGCUGGAAGGCUCUUGGCGAAUAAAGAUGGAAUGACUUCUAAUUUUUACGUCCGUAUGAUUUGAAAUACUUCCACACAAACCAGGCAAAGGCGUUCCUGGAAAUCUCGGCCUAAAAAGGACGUUUAGUAAUUCUAAAAGGGACUACAGGAUGAAAAAUAAUAGUUUGGGCAGUUAAAAUUUUAGAUUCGACGGUGCCGUAGAUCCGUUUGGUCAUCAGGUGUUACGAGCCACACCCAUGUCUAGCUAGAAUAGUGUGUUAGGCUCAGGCUAGAGAAGAAACGGGGAACAAACUGAUGAAAGAAUGAUCAUACCAAGGGAAUUCACUCAGAACUAACAAGAAUGAUAACGUGCUCCGACUGGAGCAGUUUAGAAACUACUGGAAGGCUCUAGGGGAAUAAAGAUGGAAUGACUUCAAAUUUUUAGGUCCGUAUGAUUUGAAAUACUUGCACACAAACCGCGCGAAAGCGUUCCUGGAAAUCUCAGCCCAAAAAAGGACGUUUAGUAAUUCUAAAAGGGACUACAUGAUGAAAAACAAUAGUUUUGGCAGUUAAAGUUUGAGAUUCGUCGGUGCCGUAGAUCCGUUUGGUCAUCAGCUGUAACGAGCCACACCCAUUUCUAGCUAGAGUAGUGUGCUAGGCUCAGACUAAAGAAGAAAUGGGGAACAAAGUGAUGAAAGAAUGCUCAUACCGAGGGAAUUCACUCAGAACUAACAAGAAUGAUAACAUGCUCCGACUUGAGCGAUUUAGGAACUUCUGGAAGGCUCUAGGGGAAUAAAGAUGGAAUGACUCAAAUUUUUAGGUCCGUAUGAUUUGAAAUACUUGCACACAAACCGCGAGAAAGCGUUCCUGGAAAUCUCAGCCCAAAAAAGGACGUUUAGUAAUUCUAAAAGGGACUACAUGAUGAAAAACAAUAGUUUUGGCAGUUAAAGUUUGAGAUUUGAUAAUGCCGUAGAUCCGUUUGGUCAUCAGGUGUAACGAGCCACACCCAUGUCUAGCUAGAGUAGUGUGCUAGGCUAAGACUAGAUAAGAAAAGGGGAAGAAACUUAUGAAAGAAUGAUCAGACCGAGGGAAUUCACUCAGAACUAACAAUAAUGAUAACGUGCUCCGACUGGAGCGGUUUAGGAACUGCUGGAAGGCUCUAGGGGAAUAAAGAUGGAAUGACUUCUAAUUUUUAGGUCCGUAUGAUUUGAAAUACGUGCACACAAACCCCGAGAAACCGUUCCUGGAAAUCUCGGCCCAAAAAAGGAUGUUUAGUAAUUCUAAAAGGGACUACAAAAUGAAAAACAAUAGUUUUGGCAGUUAAAGUUUGAGAUUUGAUGGUGCCGUAGAUCUGUUUGGUCAUCAGGUGUUACGAGCCACACCCAUGUCUAGCUAGAAUAGUGUGUUAGGCUCAGGCUAGAAAAGAAACGGGAAACAAAGUGAUGAAAGAAUGAUCAUACCGAGGGAAUUCACUCAGAACUAACAAGAAUGAUAACAUGCUCUGACUGGAGCGGUUUAGGAACUGCUGGAAGGCUCUAGGGGAAUAAAGAUGGAAUGACUUCUAAUGUUUAGGUCCGUAUGAUUUGAAAUACUUGCACAUAAACCGCGCAAAAGCGUUCCUGGAAAUCUCAGCCCAAAAAAGGACGUUUAGUAAUUCUAAAAGGGACUACAGGAUGAAAAACAAUAGUUUUGGCAGUUAAAGUUUGAGAUUCGACGGUGCCGUAGAUCCGUUUGUUCAUCAGGUGUUACGAGCCACACCCAUGUCUAGCUAGAAUAGUGUGUUAGGCUCAGGCUAGAGAAGAAACGGGGAACAAACUGAUGAAAGAAUGAUCAAACCGAGGGAAUUCACUCAGAACUAACAAUAAUGAUAACGUGCUCCGACUAGAGCGGUUUAGGAACUGCUGGAAGGCUCUAGGGGAAUAAAGAUGGAAUGACUUCUAAUUUUUAGGUCUGUAUGAUUUGAAAUACUUGCACGCAAACCGCGCGAAAGCGUUCCCGGAAAUAUCAGCCUAAAGAAGGACGUUUAGUAAUUCUAAAAGGGACUACAGGAUGAAAAACAAUAGUUUUGGCAGUUAAAGUUUGAGAUUCAACGGUGCCGUAGAUCCGUUUGGUCAUCAGGUGUUACGAGCCACACCCAUGUCUAGCUAGAGUAGUGUGCUAGGCUCAGGCUAGAGAAGAAACAGGGAACAAACUGAUGAAAGAAUGAUCAUACCGAGGGAAUUCACUCAGAACUGAUGAAAGAAUGAUCAAACCAAGGAAAUUCACUCAGAACUAACAAUAAUGAUAACAUGCUCCGACUGGAGCGGUUUAGGAACUGCUGGAAGGCUCUAGGGGAAUAAAGAUGGAAUGACUUCUAAUUUUUAGGUCCGUAUGAUUUGAAAUACGUGCACACAAACCCCGAGAAACCGUUCCUGGAAAUCUCGGCCCAAAAAAGGACGUUUAGUAAUUCUAAAAGGGACAACAAAAUGAAAAACAAUAGUUUUGGCAGUUAAAGUUUGAGAUUCGACGGUGCCGUAGACCCGUUUGGUCAUCAGGUGUUACGAGCCACACCCAUGUCUAGCUAGAGUAGUGUGCUAGGUUCAGACUAGAGAAGAAACGGGGAACAAAGUGAUGAAAGAAUGAUCAUACCGAGGGAAUUCACUCAGAACUAACAAGAAUGAUAACGUGCUCCGACUGGAGCGGGUUAGGAAUUGCUGGAAGGCUCUAGGGGAAUAAAGAUAGAAUGACUUCUAAUUUUUACGUCCGUAUGAUUUGAAAUACUUGCACACAAACCACGCAAAAGCGUUCCUAGAAAUCUCAGCCUAAAAAAGGACGUUUAGUAAUUCUAAAAGGGACUACAGGAUGAAAAAUAAUAGUUUGGCCAGUUAAAAUUUAAGAUUCGACGGUGCCGUAGAUCCGCUUGGUCAUCAGGUGUUACGAGCCACACCCAUGUCUAGCUAGAAUAGUGUGUUAGGCUCAGGCUAGAGAAGAAACGGGGAACAAACUGAUGAAAGAAUGAUCAUACCGAGGGAAUUCACUCAGAACUAACAAGAAUGAUAACAUGCUCCGACUGGAGCGGUUUAGGAACUGCUGGAAGGCUCUAGGGGAAUAAAGAUGGAAUGACUUCUAAUUUUUAGGUCCGUAUGAUUUGAAAUACUUGCACACAAACCGCAAGAAAGCGUUCCUGGAAAUCUCAGCACAAAAAAGGACGUUUAGUAAUUCUAAAAGGGACUACAGCAUGAAAAACAAUAGUUCUGGCAGUUAAAGUUUGAGAUUCGAUAAUGCCGUAGAUCCGUUUGGUCAUCAGGUGUAACGAGCCACACCCAUGUCUAGCUAGAGUAGUGUGCUAGGCUCAGACUAGAGAAGAAACGGGGAACAAAAUGAUGAAAGAAUGAUUAUACCGAGGGAAUUCACUCAGAACUAACAAGAAUGAUAACGUGCUCCGACUGGAGCGGUUUAGGAACUGCUGGAAGGCUCUAGGGGAAUAAAGAUGGAAUGACUUCAAAUUUUUAGGUCUGUAUGAUUUGAAAUACUUGCACACAAACCGCAAGAAAGCGUUCCUGGAAAUCUCAGCCCAAAAAUGGACGUUUAGUAAUUCUAAAAGGGACUAUAGGAUGAAAAACAAUAGUUCUGGCAGUUAAAGUUUGAGAUUCGAUAAUGUCGUAGAUCCGUUCGGUCAUCAGGUGUAACGAGCCACACCCAUGUCUAGCUAGAGUAGUGUGCUAGGCUCAGACUAGAGAAGAAACGGGGAACAAACUGAUGAAAGAAUGAUCAUACCGAGGGAAUUCACUCAGAACUAACAAGAAUGAUAACGUGCUCCGACUGGAGCGGUUUAGGAACUGCUGGAAGGCUCUAGGGGAAGAAAGAAGGAAUGACUUCUAAUUUUUAGGUCCGUAUGAUUUGAAAUACGUGCACACAAACCGCGCGAAAGCGUUCCUGGAAAUCUCAGCCCAAAAAAGGACGUUUAGUAUUCUAAAAGGGACUACAGAAUGAAAAACAAUAGUUUUGGCAGUUAAAGUUUGAGAUUCGACGGUGCCGUAGAUCCGUUUGGUCAUCAGGUGUUACGAGCCACACCCAUGUCUAGCUAGAAUAGUGUGCCAGGCUCAGGCUAGAGAAGAAAAGGGGAACAAACUGAUG